CCGAGAUGGUGCAGUUCCCAAACCAGGCAGCGGUGAAGCUGCUCAGAAUGCUGAUGGUCCCUCUGUGGAGCUGGUGUUGAGUGACCAGACAAUUCACACUGGCAGUUUCCAUGACAACAAAUAGAAAUUUAACUGCACACCUCAUGUAUGUGUAAUACUCUAAGGCCUGGUGGCAAUUGGCACUUCAUAUGCAGGUAGCCUACAAUGUCAUGUUCAUCCCCUCAUCCUAGUCCCAGUUCUCUUCCUCUUCUCAUACAAUGUUUCACUUCCACUGAAAUGUAAAGUAUGCUUUUCUAUUUAUAAAACAUAAACAAGA